AGCAGUGGGAGCAGACUUGUUCUGUGACUGCGUACCUUUUGUAUAAUGGGUCAGCGACUUAAUUCUCAGUGGCAAGCUUAACCGAAUAGGGGAGGCGUAGGGAAACCGAGUCUUAAUAGGGCGUUUAGUUGCUAGGAUUAGACCCGAAACCAGGCGAUCUAUCCAUGGCCAGGGUGAAGGUUCGGUAACACGGACUGGAGGCCCGAACCCACUUAUGUUGAAAAAUGAGGGGAUGAGUUGUGGAUAGGAGUGAAAGGCUAAUCAAGCCUGGAGAUAGCUGGUUCUCCGCGAAAUCUAUUUAGGUAGAGCGUUGGACGAAUACCUCAGGGGGUAGAGCACUGGAUGGGCUAUGGGGA
rnacentral:rRNA from 1 species